AAAUUAUAAUUUUUUACAUAUUAAUAUGAUGAAAAGAUACAUCUUAAAAUGUUAAUCAAAGUUUUUAUAAUUUGACUCAAAAAAUAGAAACAUGACAAACAAACCGGACGGAUGAAAUAGUUGAUUAUACCCCUGCCAUUAAAACGAAAUUAUUUUAUACCUUUGCCGUUAUCAAUUUCAUCAUUUAUACUCUUCAAUUGACAAAAAUCUGUAAAUCAGUAAAAUUGACCCGAUUUCAUAAAAUUAUCCAUUCCCCAAAACCCAUGCCCGACCCAUGUAAGAACCUAACCCAAAAACAUUUAACCCAUUUUCCUUACCUUCAACACCAUUUUUACCAACUUAUUUUUUUCUUCCUUCUAAAUAUUUUUUCUUCAAAUUCCAGAGUCAGCUAGCUCAAAAAAUGAAACAUCAUCAUUGUUACCUCACAAUCGGAGAGUUUGGAGAAGUAAAUUAGAGGGGAGGAUGGGGUCGCAGAUACUUCUGCAAAUGCAUAGGGUAUUUGGGGAAGACAAUACAGAGGCGACGACGGAAACGACCAUGGUUGACUUCUCUUUUUCUCUUUCCUCCGAGCCCUCAUACUCGUCUAAAAGUGCUCAGAUCUGAUCGAUUUUUAUGUUUAAGGUGAUGUUCGACAAUAUUGUUGACGCCGC
rnacentral:lncRNA from 1 species